GAUGAACGCUCGCGGCAGGCCUAAUACAUGCAAGUCGGACGGGAUUCAGGAGCUUGCUUCUGAUGAGAGUGGCGCACGGGUGCGUAACACGUAUGUAGCCUACCUUUAUCAGGGGGAUAGCCUCUCGAAAGAGAGAUUAAGCCCGCAUAAAAUCACAGCACAGCAUUGUGUAAUGAUCAAAUAUUUAUAGGAUAAAGAUGGGCAUGCGGAACAUUAGCUAGAUGGCGGGGUAACGGCCCACCAUGGCGACGAUGUUUAGGGGAUCUGAGAGGAUGGCCCCCCACACUGGUACUGAGACACGGACCAGACUCCUACGGGAGGCAGCAGUAAGGAAUAUUGGUCAAUGGGCGGAAGCCUGAACCAGCCAUGCCGCGUGCAGGAAGACGGCCCUACGGGUUGUAAACUGCUUUUAUACGGGAAUAAACCCAGAUACGUGUAUCUGGCUGAAUGUACUGUAAGAAUAAGAAUCGGCUAACUCCGUG
rnacentral:rRNA from 1 species